rnacentral:rRNA from 1 species
UACGUAGGGGGCAAGCGUUGUCCGGAUUUACUGGGCGUAAAGCGCGCGUAGGCGGAAGGUGAAGCGUGGCCUGAAAGCCCCCCGGCUCAACCGGGGAGGGCGGCUGCGAACUGGCCUUCUUGAGGGCGAUAGAGGGGGGCGGGAAUUCCUGGUGUAGCGGUGAAAAUGCGUAGAGAUCAGGAGGAACACCCGUGGCGAAGGCGGCCCCCCUGGGUCGGCCCUGACGCUGAGGCGCGAAAAGCGUGGGGGAGCGAAACCGG